rnacentral:pre_miRNA from 8 species
UUUUUUUGUGGAAAUUUGAGCUCAAGCAGUUGAUUGUCCAAACGCAAUUCUUGUGAAAUGUCGAGCGAUCAGUCGAGAAUUGUGCCUGGACAUCUGUUGCUGGAGGCUCCACGCGACUCAUCAUCAU